ACCCUAGACCAGACUAUACGGCGUCACAUCCUGGACGAUGGUACCAUACUCUUAUGGCUCUUAUAAUGAUUGAUGUGGUGCGAGGGUCCGUAUCUCAAAUAGAACUGAGAAACAUUUUGACAGAAUACCUUUGGCGUGCACGUACCUACAUAUCUACAGUAAUGUACUGUAAACAAUUGACACUGUCAACUUGAAAAGACUACUUAAACCAGGAUGGGUAAAGAGCUUCAUCUGCAAAAGGUUGCACAAUAAGAGAUAUACAGCUUCAACACAUCUUUUGUGAUUUCAUCAGCUGGCACUCCAUUUCAUGAAGCCACAUGCCUACCAAAAGGUGAAGUACUACAUUUCAUUUGAGGUGCAGGAUUGCUGCAGCAAUGAAUCUUAAAGGAUGAUGAUUUCACUGAGCACCCACCCCUUCAAUUUAUCCAUGUAAUUGUCAGGCAGAGAAAAAAGCCUUGAACAAAUAUCUUCAUGAACUCUUCAAAAUGUCUUGUCCUGUAGAACAAAUAGUCCUACAAACUUAGUAUCGCUGGCAUUAUACAAACAUUUUCUUCUUUUAGUGAUGAAUGUUGUUAAGUUCUGCAAUGAUCUCUGAUGAUAAAGUCCAGCAAUAUCAUAAAUGAAAAAAUCUUAACUUCUCAUAUAAAUUUUUUUAAGAGUAUAAGCUUCAUUUCCGUUCAGUGAAUAAACAGACAUAAUUUGAAUACACCUCAAUUCAGACGCAGGCUGUAGAACUGAGAAACUGGCAGUUCAAUACCAAGCAUGGACAAGAGACCAUUUGUGUGGCCUCCAAGCUUGGGGGCGCUUUCUCAGGAAGUAAAGUAGCUGGUGCAUGAAGCUGGUCACUCAUCGAGCUAAACCCCCUCCACUCCCCCAUGUAUCUUCACGUGAUGCAUAAGCAGAGGGACCUUACUAUUAGCUAUACCUCUAGCUGUAGAAAUGCUGUGAGCUUCGGCUUUGUAACAUGACAUGUCAUGCUUCUCCAUCACCCUUACGAUUUCACACCACGACAUGAUAGAAAAUAAAAAGAAAAAGACAGAAGUUUACUGUAACCCUCAGUGAUGAAACUUUUUUCCCUCUUCUGAGAUGUGAAGCUGUGGAGCCUGGUAUAAAAUUCACUUGACGCUGUAGAGGGAUAUACAGCCUCCAUCUUUGUCUGCUUUCCUGGCUUACUCUUUAACCCUCAAGAUGGAGGCGGUAUGAAAUGUUGAUAAAAAUCCACCAGACAGCACUCUUCACAGUCACAGCUGUGAUAACCUCAAACCCAGUAUACCCUUCCAGCUCCUCCACUUUCCACUUUAUGAUGUGCAUUUUAGCUGCAGCAAAUAUAAGGAACACGAAGACAUGAUGGUUCUGUGUGGUGACGUCUCAAAUAGACUUACUAGUUCAUGUACAUACAAGCAGUUAAGACAUUUUUGUAAAAUGGAAAUUCUUAUAAACUUAACAUGGACAUUUCACUACGUUGUUCAUUACAAUAGUUCGUACAUUAAUUAAUGACACUGCAGCUCAUAUUAUAAAGUAUGAAACAGGAGGAUGAUUAAUGGAUGACAAACUGGGACAGAUGUAGAAGCAGUCGUAACCUAUUUCCAUGCACUGUCCCAGGAGUAUGGACUGCAGAAAAUAACUCAAUCACCACAGUAGGUGUCACCCAAGAUUCAAACCAGUCACCACCAUAAUUCAAGUCAGAUGGAUUAUCACUUGAGCAAAUUUGCUCAGUUACUUACUACAGUUACUACAUUAUGUUCCUGUACUCAUACAUGCAGAUAUGUAAUUGUCCACUCUGCUUCACAAUGGUCCCUACAGGGAAAGACCUAUAAUACCCCAGUAUCAACAUACUGACCCCCACUGUGAUCUUUUUAUAUUUUGUCUGUGGUCAAAAAAAUGACACAUGUUUUCACACUAGUGAAUUAUUAUGGCCACUGAGGAAUGCUGCAGAACCGUCAGCAUACUCUCCCUUAUAAAUCACACGGAACUGGCAAAAAUAUGUCUGAGUAUCCACAUAUCACACAGCAGACAGACCACCAUGGCAUGAAGUAAAGAGUACUCAGCACACACCAGCAAACACAAUACCAGCAUACAUCUGAAAAGCCGAUUUUUAAUUGGGUAUCUGGGUGUGGACUGAUUCAAGACACAGCUGAACACUGCAAGAACUCUCAUGUUCCAUAAAAGUACAAAAUUCCUUCACUCGCCAAGAAACUACAAACUCACAAAAGUAGACCUUUCAUUCAUGGG